UCUGGUGGCCAUAGCACGAGCAAAACACCCGAUCCCAUUCCGAACUCGGCCGUUAAGUGCCGUCGCGCUGAUGGUACUGCGUCUCAAGACGUGGGAGAGUAAGUCACCGCCAGACCUAGUAAAGAACAUCAAAACAUUCUCUCUGAACGAU
rnacentral:rRNA from 1 species